CCUCAAGUAAAAAUUUAGUAAUGUAUAUGAUUACAUUUUCCCUAAAUGGUGAUACCUUGUCCAAAGAUGAAGAGCACCCCUAUUUUAACAGGUAGAAGGAACCUUGUGUCAAUCUUGCAGAAGCUUUAAUGGAGAAAAAGAUGGACUUUAUUUUUAAAAGAUAAAUGAGUAGGCAUUCAUAUUAACAGAAUGGUAGUGUGUUUUGGUUGAGCAGUAGUACCGCUUUGAAUUUUAGAGGACCCAAGUGCUUAUCUGUCCACUACCUUGUCGUUCUGUUCUCAUCAAUGAAAAAUGAUUCAACAACUCCACCGUAACCCCUCCACAGGUAUACAAGUACUGUGUCUUGUAAGUUACAUUUUUAGCACACAGGAGAAAUUAUAUGUAAUAAAAUUACUGUUAUCUUUUGGACUUAACAAAUCGGAAUUUGUAUUUAAACACUGAUUAUAUGUCUGAUAAUUCUUAAAAUAAUGGCACUUUUCCUAAUUUACUUGGGGAUCUUGGGUACAUUUGUACUUUGUGUUAUUCUUCAUGCUUGACUUGGA
rnacentral:lncRNA from 1 species